rnacentral:rRNA from 1 species
GAUGAACGCUGGCGGCGUGCCUAAUACAUGCAAGUCGAGCGAACGGACGAGAAGCUUGCUUCUCUGAUGUUAGCGGCGGACGGGUGAGUAACACGUGGAUAACCUACCUAUAAGACUGGGAUAACUUCGGGAAACCGGAGCUAAUACCGGAUAAUAUUUUGAACCGCAUGGUUCAAAAGUAAAAGACGGUCUUGCUGUCACUUAUAGAUGGAUCCGCGCUGCAUUAGCUAGGUGGUAAGGUAACGGCUUACCAAGGCAACGGGGCAUAGCCUAGCUGAGAGGGGGGUGUGCCACGCUGGACCUGGGCCACGGUCCAGACUCCUCCGGGAGGGAGCGGUACGGAUGCUUCCGCAAUGGACGAAGGCCUGACGGAGCGACGCCGCGCGGGUUAUGAGGUGCUUGCGAUCGUAAAGUUCUGUUAUUAGGGAAGAACAUCAGGGCAAGUAAUUGUGCACGGCUUGACGGUACCUAAUCAAAAAGCCCCGGCUAACUACGUG